rnacentral:rRNA from 1 species
GAUGAACGCUGGCGGCGUGCCUAAUACAUGCAAGUCGAGCGAACAGACGAUGAGCUUGCUCCUCUGACGUUAGCGGCGGACGGGUGAGUAACACGUGGAUAACCUACCUAUAAGACUGGUAUAACUUCGGGAAACCGGAGCUAAUACCGGAUAAUAUAUUGAACCGCAUGGUUCAAUAGUGAAAUACGGUUUUGCUGUCACUUAUAGAUGGAUCCGCGCCGCAUUAGCUAGUUGUUAAGGUAACGGCUUACCAAGGCGACGAUGCGUAGCCGACCUGAGAGGGUGGUCGGCCACACUGGAACUGAGACACGGUCCAGAGGACUACGGGAGGCAGCAGUAGGGAAUCUUCCGCAAUGGGCGAAAGCCUGACGGAGCGACGCCACGUGAGUGAUGAAGAUCUUCGGUUCGUAAAACUGUGUUAUUAGUGAAGAACAAAUGUGUAAGUAAAUGUGCACGUAUUGACGGUACCUAAUCAGAAAGCCACGGCUAACUACGUG